CCUACGGGAGGCAGCAGUGGGGAAUUUUCCGCAAUGGGCGAAAGCCUGACGGAGCAAUACCGCGUGAGGGAGGAAGGCUCUUGGGUUGUAAACCUCUUUUGUCAGGGAAGAAGAUCUGACGGUACCUGACGAAUCAGCAUCGGCUAACUCCGUGCCAGCAGCCGCGGUAAUACGGGGGAUGCAAGCGUUAUCCGGAAUUAUUGGGCGUAAAGCGUCCGCAGGUGGUUGUUCAAGUCUGCUGUUAAAGCAUGGGGCUUAACUCCAUAUAGGCAGUGGAAACUGGACGACUAGAGUACGGUAGGGGUCGCGGGAAUUCCCAGUGUAGCGGUGAAAUGCGUAGAUAUUGGGAAGAACACCAGUGGCGAAAGCGCGCGGCUGGACCUGUACUGACACUGAGGACGAAAGCUAGGGGAGCGAAAGGGAUUAGAUACCCCUGUAGUCCUAGCUGUAAACGAUGGAUACUAGGUGUUGCCCGUAUCGACCCGGGCAGUGCCGUAGCUAACGCGUUAAGUAUCCCGCCUGGGGAGUACGCACGCAAGUGUGAAACUCAAAGGAAUUGACGG
rnacentral:rRNA from 1 species